CAGCCGCCACGGUAAUACAGAGGGUGCGAGCGUUAAUCGGAUUUACUGGGCGUAAAGCGUGUGUAGGUUGUUGUUCAAGUCAGUUGUGAAAUCCCUGGGCUCAACCUGGGAACUGCUUCUGAGACUGAACGACUAGAGUACGGUAGAGGGUGGUGGAAUUUCCGGUGUAGCGGUGAAAUGCGUAGAUAUAGGAAGGAACACCAGUGGCGAAGGCGACCACCUGGACUGAUACUGACACUGAGGUGCGAAAGCGUGGGGAGCAAACAGGAUUAGAUACCCCCGUAGUCCCUGUCUCUUAUAC
rnacentral:rRNA from 1 species